ensembl:misc_RNA Metazoa_SRP Metazoan signal recognition particle RNA
GCUGGGUGAAGUGGUGGUCGCCUGUAAUCCCGGCUACUCGGGAGGCUGAGGCAGGAGAAUCGCUUGAACCUGGGAGGCAGAGGUUGCAGUGAGCUGAGAUCACGUCACUGCACUCCAGCCCAGGUGACAGAGUGAGACUCUGUCUCAA